UGCAAGUGACUGUAAGGCACUGUUGAAACUGC
rnacentral:piRNA from 1 species